CCGAAUAUUUUGUUCCCACCAAAAAAUAGCCUAUUUAACCUUCCCGGUAAACGUACUCCCGAUUAGUACUCUAAACCAAAUCACGGCGUCAUCACGGUGGCGAUUGGAUCUGAGCUCCGUGCUCCGGCGUCAUCGCGGCGUCAACACAUAGAAGCACGCCGGAGUCAACAACACAGAGGGCACAAGGAUGAAUUCAACGGAGGGAUGCUGCUGGUACACAACAUGUUUACUUCUUCAUCACCUAUCUGAAUGGUGCACAUCAAAUAUGGUUUCCUAAUGCUAUGUCCCUAGAUUGUUUUUGUGUGCAGACCCAAAGAAGAUUUAGCUGGACAGGGUAGAAGUAAUGGCAAAACACACGUACUUUAGAGAUUUCAACUACCGCGUUACCAAUGGACUGAACUAUGCAAGAUUGCUACAUUUUACUUGAGUUGCAUUUGAUGGAUAUUUGCUAUGACAAUUAUGAUUUGUAUGAACUUACAUAUUAUACGUGUAUGGUUUUGAAUUUUGUAAUUAAAUGGCUGUAUUAUUUUUAUGCUUCCGAUAAGCUAUUGCCACAGCUCACUUUCCGUUGCCUUAGGCAACACGAAAAAUA